rnacentral:rRNA from 1 species
GACGAACCGUGCGAACGUUGUCCGGAAUCAUUGGGCGUAAAGAGCGCGUAGGCGGCUGGAAUAGUCCGGUGUGAAAUCCACAGGCUUAACCUGUGAAUGCCGCUGGAAACUGUCUGGCUAGAGUCCGGAAGGGGCGAGUGGAAUUCCUGGUGUAGCGGUGAAAUGCGCAGAUAUCAGGAGGAACACCAAUGGCGAAGGCAGCUCGCUGGGACGGUACUGACGCUGAGGCGCGAAAGCGUGGGGAGCGAACAGG